rnacentral:rRNA from 1 species
GCAAGUCGAGGGGCAGCGGGGCGGCAGGCUUGCCUGCCGUUGCCGGCGACCGGCGCACGGGUGAGUAACACGUAUGCAACCUGCCCGUGGCAGGGGGAUAAGCGGGGGAAACUCAGUCUAAUACCGCGUAACGCGGCCUAGGGACAUCCCAAGGCCGCCAAAGGGAGCAAUCCCGGCCACGAUGGGCAUGCGGCGGAUUAGCGAGUCGGCGGGGUCGCGGCCCACCGAGGCGACGAUGCGUAGGGGUUCUGAGAGGAAGGCC